AGGAGGGGAAUGGAGUCACAGAUACGUUAUGCAGUCUUACACUUUAAGGCGGGGGGAAAGAGAAGAACUGACAUAGCAAAUGUGAGAAAUCAAAACUUGGGUGUUUAUUUAGGGAGACUGUAAAGGGACCAUCACUUGGGUCUGGGGAGAGGAGAGGAUUUUGUGGGAAACAAAAGCACUGUCAGCUUUUGUGUCUAUUCUAGAUGUUCAUAGCAUUAGGCAGAGCUUACAGCUCUGCCUUUUAGUAAUUUUAUGGACCUGAUAUUUUAAGGCACCAAAGGGAACGAUGAUGUUCAUCUGACAUGUGAGAUUAUAAAAUGGUGAAGUGUUUGUUUGCAUGGCCUGGAUUGGUAAUGUCUCCUUUAGAGAGUUUACUGGUUUAUUACCCACUUGCUGGUGGAACAUACCGGAAACACAGAAACAGCAGAAUUAUUCUCAUUUAUUUUGUUGCAGUUAGGUUUUUAUGAAGACAGGUGUACGGAUGGAAAUAUAGAUAUGCCUGAGCAACUGCAAAUACAAGACAAAAAUACAGGAUUUGCUUGCCAAAGCUGAAUUCCUGCCAGUCCUUGAGUCCUUUCCUGGGACAUUGUUUGCUGAAGAAUACCAGUGAUUUGCUUUAAUGGAGUAUAAAGAGCAUGUACUGGUGUGAGGAAGACCUGUGGGCAGAGAGGAAUAGAUGGACCACACAGGCAACAUGACAGUUCAUCAUUGUGCAAGGUGGAUUUUUGCACCUGUGAAGGAUGCUGUGCCAGGCUUCAGAUUGUUCCUCUUCUAACCUUCUCCGAUGUUAGUCUCCUCCAUCACGGUCUCCUUUCUCAGCACACAGCUUUGAAAAGUAAAUUCUCCACGAUGUCAGAUCACCCGAUGGUGAAGCAGGUUUGAAGCCCCAGCUCUCAAAGCAACUUCCAGCGGACCAUGACAGGAAUCAAGGGGCCCUGCAUUGAUCGCAUUGUGAACGCCAGGAACCUGGGCUGUGCCCAGAGUGGCGGGAGCAGCAGGAGCUGUGCCCAGCUGGGGAGGUGCCAUUGCUUGAUCCCUCUCCUGGUUCCUGGCCUCAGCAUCUGCAGAAACAGAGGGUUUUUCCCCUGUCGGAUAUUCCCAUUGCACAGCAUUGGGAAUCUCUUGGUUUUACUGGUGUUCUGCUGCUGUGCAGCCCUCCCUGCCUCUUGGCAUGCCAGGCUUUCCCCACGCACUCCCUCUGGGAGCAAGCUACCUGGCCAGGGCGAGACAAAGGUGAAACAAGAUCACAAACAGGCAAUAUUGUGCAUGUAGAGCUAAACCUUCUGCUGCCACCGAGGAGCCCUCGGCAGCACGGUGCCCUUUGUUCAUGCUCCCGGCCCCGCAGAGCCUGCCUGCCUCCCCUCUCCUAGGCAAGCCUUUGCAUUUUUAUGCCGGUGCCUUUCUUUGCAUUGACCAGAGUUUAUCACAUAUCUCUGGUUGGGAUCCUGCCUGGCUUAGCAUAAGACAAAAAUGGGGAGGAAGAGGAGAGAAAAAAAAAGAGAGAAAGAAAUCAGCUGAAUAAUAGGAGGGAUUUGUAGCAGCUGAGGAUUUGCAUUCAAAUGUGCGCCAGCCUCCUCUGAGCUUGAGUUUUAUCAUGUCUUUACAGCCAACAGCUUGUUUAUGAAUAAAAAAUGUGGCAUGAAACCAGAGGAGUGAGUUGUCUUUGUUUUGUCAAGUGUGCGGAGACAAAAUGCUCGCUGCUCACAAGUCUUCACUUCAUACAAGUCUGCCGGGACGGGGGCAGCUGGCCGCGGGCUGCUACCUGCGCGUUGCCAUGGCCGGGGGCACCUCCUGUACCCCUCCAUAUGCAUGAGUAGGGACCCCGCCGGGCGCCUAUGCAAAGCAGCCCCUGCUUUGACAGGCAGGCACUUUAUUAACUCAUUAAGCUCAUCUUGUUCCUUUAAACGCGGUAUAAUUACAAAUAAAGCUGUCACACUUUGUUUGCAGUUAUAGCAUUUAGCUAAGUGCCGCUACGACCCGGGAUUCAAGGAGGAAAGGGAGGUUAGGAGCCGG